UAGGGAAUCUUCCACAAUGGACGCAAGUCUGAUGGAGCAACGCCGCGCGAGUGAAGAAGGUCUUCGGAUCGUAAAACUCUGUUGUUAGAGAAGAACACGAGUGAGAGUAACUGUUCAUUCGAUGACGGUAUCUAACCAGCAAGUCACGGCUAACUACGUGCGAG
rnacentral:rRNA from 1 species